UUGUAAUGCCAGAACUAAGAGGAAUUGUUCUACAUCCAGUUGAUUUGGUUGCAUAAUUAGAUUACCAAACCCAUUCGUUCAUAAAUAAGUUUAGUAAAUUAAAAAGAAAAAUUGAUGUUUGUAGUCACAGUAAGAUAAAAAACGCGUCUUAACGUCGUCGUCGUUUCUCGAGCUAACAUUUGUUGUGUCAAAGUCUCGAGAGUAGCGCCCUCCCUCGGAGUAGUGAGUUUUAUAUAAGGCCUGAGAUCGAUGUCAACCGACACCAAGGAUUCAUUGGGUAUUGCUAAAAUGGACAAGGACAUGUUGAAGAAACAGAUAGAAAAUAUGCGUUAUCAAGCGCAGAUGGAGAGGUGGCCAUUGUCAAAAUCGAUUCAAGCGUUACGGGAGUAUAUAGAAGAGAACGAGAGAACCGAUCCAUUAAUCCACGCUCCUGAUAAGAAGAAUAAUCCUUGGGCUGAAAAGGGAAAAUGUCUCAUCAUGUAGCCGAAAGUCUUUUCAGAUGUGUUUGUUUCAUACAGUUCCGGUCGACAGUUACUUAAAUCAUAACGUCUUUGAACAUAUGACUCUUUUCCAGUUUUAAAUUGGCUUUCUCUUCACGUCAAAGAUAGUGAAAAGCACCAAACGUACGGAAAUUUACCAACCAAACCAAGAAUUGUUUAAUAUCAGCAGUUGUUUCGUCGUUGUUUAUUUGAGCUUUAAUGUAUUUAAAUUAGGACGGAGUCACUCAUGUUCAUUCCUAAAGCUUUAAAAAAGUCAGUACUUUGACUUUUCAAACAAUUCUUUUGUUUUCAUUCUAUGACCCGUUGAAGACACUGAAAGCAAAACAUCGAACUUACUUUAAUUAUUUCCUAAUGUAUUAGUCCCGAUGUCGUAUAAUAAGGAAUAAUAAUAUCACCUAUUAAUCAAGAAAUGUAUGCUUUUCUUUUGGUUUGUUUUGUGGUUUUAAACUUGACGUUUUCAGACUGCAAUGUUAUUGACCAUAAAUCAAUUUAUAGCCUCGUUAAAAAAAGCUUCUGUGAGAAUUUCAGGCAAAAUUAAAGCUUUGACAGCGAAUCAAUGUUCAACUAAAUCCCACUAUUUAACAACAUACUGUAAAAGUCAAAAGUAUCAUUGUUCCUUAUGGAGAUUAUCGAACAGCAAAUUGUAAAAUAAGAAAUCAGGUAUGUAAGUUUGAAAUACAAUAGUUCUAUAAAUAUCCAGUUUCUUAGAAUUUUUGUUUCAUAUCUUCUCUUAUUAGAAUCACGGUUGGCAAGUUGAUUUGAAAUCAACCACUAGAUGGCACUAUUUAUUAUUAUUAUUAUUUACACAUUCUGUUUAAAAUGCAAGGUUUCUUUGGUUUAAUUAUGCAGCAGAUUAUUUGGUUAUUAAUCUGAAAUUUUGAAAGUACAGAUAAAGCUCGUAGCCACGUGGAGGUAUGGCUCAGGGGCAUGAAUUUACCAAGAUUGCCCUUAGCCUCCUCCAACAAAAGAACAAAUUUUACUAUUUUAUUCCUUCAUAAGUUGCGGUUGUUUUUUUAUUAUCUUUAAGUAGUGACGUCAUAUUAAGAUCAUUAACUGUAAACGUCUAUAAGGUUACUUUCAUUAAAAUAUUAAAAAUUGUGACGCAUUGGCGAGAAGAACACUUUCUAUAAAAGUUGUGGUAAAUUGAAUAUUCUAUCUAAUGAUGUAAGUAUCAUGGUAAAGGAGUCUAAUAGUAUACGUAUCAUUAUUAUUUCUGUUGGAUUAUAGUAGUUUACAUUUUGUUGAUAUCUAACAUUGGAUAACUCGCUAAAAAAUUAAGGUAUUAAUUUUUUAAAAACUGUAACAUAAAAUCAUUUGAAUUAAAUGUUAUUAUAACGAAUGUGUUUUUAAUAUUUAUUGCAAAUUUAUUGUGUAUUUUCUCAAAUGGAAGAACCGCACGUGAACUUGUUCCAAACAGUCUUAGCUCCCGGUUGACCCGCUUGUUGCUCAGACGUCUUUCUUCAGAAAUCAGAAUGCGCCGCCUGAACGAUCGGUGGGUCAGACGCUGGUGGAAACGCGUGAAGCCCUCUCACAUGUAACCUAAAAUUAAUCCUAAUUUUCGACAAUAUUUAGAGCAGUGUUUGUUGUUCUGUAAAAGGUACAGAUACACUAUUCAUUGUCAUGUAUUUUACAGUUUCAAAACUUAGAGAAAAUGCGUUUCGUAUGCUCAUUUUUAUUGAAAUAAAAACUGGUAUACAAUUAUGAAAAAUAUAGUUUCACUUGACUAUGUCUAACUUCGGCUGAAUGAAAUAAAACUAUUGUUUUCUGAACAACGAAACCAGCAUUUAUUUCCCAUCUUAUUUGAACACAUGCUUAGCAAUAAAUAUGAGUAUUUAGUUAUCAUUGCCGUAGGAAGCAUUUUUUGAGUAAAACACGUGAAAAGCAUGACAUUUCUAGGGGGGGGGAGUGCUCCCCCAAAAAUUUUUGAAAAUUUAUUGCUAUGAGAUUGAGUCAUUUUAACUACAAAUACUGCACACACAUAUACAGACGUAAUGUAUUGAAUUAAAAAAAAGCAAGUUUUAAUAAAUAAGUUGUUGCUAUACAUGACAUGAAAAAAGUGUAACAUAAAAGAAAUUGGGAUAACUUUUAAAAGAACUGUCGUUUUUAUAUUAUGAAAUUCAUUUAUAAAAAACAGUUAAAGGUAAUUUUAUUGUACAGGUUUACAUUGAUUUACUAUUUGUUUUGUGUUACAACUCCAGUUUACAGCUGCAAUCCUGGUUAUCCAGUAUAGGGAAGUUGAGUCGAGAUGGAUUAUCGGAGUUACAGGCAUAGGCGCCGAUCAUGAGGGGGGACAGGUCCUCUAUAUAUAUUCCAAUUAUAUGUUUAUAUUUUUGCAAACUAUAAGAUACAAUUUUUACAAGAUAUAUUUUUUGUUAUAAUUAAUAACGUCAAGCAAUAUUUUCUAACCCCCCCCCAACCUUUCAAUAGAGAUCGGUGCCCAUGGUUACAGGUUUCUUCCCCUCCCAUUAUGAAUAUGAAGCUAUUCCUAGACAAAUUCGAGAAAGAAUCCCUAAAGUAUGUUCUAAAGUUAUUAUUUAAUUCUAUUGAAGUCGAUAUUGUUUCGUUUAUAAGUUUUAAGUAAGGUUUUUUUGCUUUUAAAAACCACGUGACUUUCUUUUGAGUAACUUAAAUCAAGACUCAUGAUUAACUUUAGCUUCACUUGAAGAUUUUACCAUGUUUCUAGUACUGGUGAUGAAAUAUAUUUCACCGGAUCUCUUUAAUCCUGACCUUCCAACCAUUCGAAUAUUGCUAGAUUUCAGGUUUCUAGUACUGGUGAUGAAAUAUA